UACGGAGGAUGCAAGCGUUAUCCGGAAUGAUUGGGCGUAAAGCGUCCGCAGGUGGCUGUGUAAGUCUGCUGUUAAAGAGUGAGGCUCAACCUCAUAAAGGCAGUGGAAACUACAUGGCUAGAGUGCGUUCGGGGCAGAGGGAAUUCCUGGUGUAGCGGUGAAAUGCGCAGAGAUCAGGAAGAACACCGGUGGCGAAAGCGCUCUGCUAGGCCGCAACUGACACUGAGGGACGAAAGCUAGGGGAGCGAAUGGG
rnacentral:rRNA from 1 species